rnacentral:rRNA from 1 species
CAAGUCGAGGGGCAGCAUUUUAGUUUGCUUGCAAACUGAAGAUGGCGACCGGCGCACGGGUGAGUAACACGUAUCCAACCUGCCGAUAACUCCGGGAUAGCCUUUCGAAAGAAAGAUUAAUACCGGAUGGCAUACGAAUAUCGCAUGAUAUUUUUAUUAAAGAAUUUCGGUUAUCGAUGGGGAUGCGUUCCAUUAGUUUGUUGGCGGGGUAACGGCCCACCAAGACUACGAUGGAUAGGGGUUCUGAGAGGAAGGUCCCCCACAUUGGAACUGAGACACGGUCCAAACUCCUACGGGAGGCAGCAGUGAGGAAUAUUGGUCAAUGGGCGAGAGCCUGAACCAGCCAAGUAGCGUGAAGGAUGAAGGCUCUAUGGGUCGUAAACUUCUUUUAUAUGGGAAUAAAGUUUUCCACGUGUGGAAUUUUGUAUGUACCAUAUGAAUAAGGAUCGGCUAACUCCGUGCCAGCAGCCGCGGUAAUACGGAGGAUCCGAGCGUUAUCCGGAUUUAUUGGGUUUAAAGGGAGCGUAGGUGGAUUGUUAAGUCAGUUGUGAAAGUUUGCGGCUCAACCGUAAAAUUGCAGUUGAAACUGGCAGUCUUGAGUACAGUAGAGGUGGGCGGAAUUCGUGGUGUAGCGGUGAAAUGCUUAGAUAUCACGAAGAACUCCGAUUGCGAAGGCAGCUCACUAGACUG